ensembl:antisense 0610025J13Rik RIKEN cDNA 0610025J13 gene
AGGCACUGCAGACACAGCUGCUGCGGAAGGAGACAGUCAAAGCUUCCAAGGAAAGAAAUGGCCAAGAUUUGAGAGAAACCUGGCAGCGUCCCCAAGCCUGGCACGGGAUCGCCUCAGACGCACUCGGCUGCUCCGGAGGCGGAGCGCGAAGCAUCGGACCCGGCGGGCGGAGCCAAGCCAGCGGGGCGCAGCGCAACGCCUUCCGCCAGGGCGUCUGCCGCCACCUACCGGCGACCAGGCAAGCGAAACUUUCCGCCGAGCGGCAGUUGCUGUGACCGCCUGGGCAUCAAAUGGCAAUUAAUUGGAACAGACUUGAUAAAUGAACUGUGGAAGGGAGCGCUGUGUUCAUGACUAGGUGCCUCCAUGGUCAUGCAUAGCAGACCAGGCGCUUUCCCACCCACCUGCUUAUGCUGCCACAGUGAACACAAAUUUACAUACCUGGAAGAAACAAGACUUUCUGAAGCAUUUGCAAAAAAUGCAGGAAAUCUGUCUGUCGUGGCUAAAACACCCCCACUGCUCCGUUUGGCAUCGUUCUCGUUCAUAUUCGAAGCAUUGACAGUGUUUCCCCUGACUAGCUGUGGCAAUUAUCACACUGGUGGCAACUGAAAUGGCUUUUCUAAUUCUAGAACCCGGGUUCCAUGAAAUAGCAAAGAAGAACCCCCCUUAAGGUAUAGGAAUGUUUAGCGUUUUUAGAAUAAAACAAAACGGAAACU